AUCCCGUUGAUGAAUCCCGAAUAGGACGAAACACACGUCCUGGAU
rnacentral:hammerhead_ribozyme from 1 species